GAUUGGCUCAGGACGAACGCUGGCGGCGCGCCUAACACAUGCAAGUCGAACGAGAGAGAAGGAGCUUGCUUCUUCGAUCGAGUGGCGAACGGGUGAGUAACGCGUGAGGAACCUGCCUCAAAGAGGGGGACAACAGUUGGAAACGGACUGCUAAUACCGCAUAACGCCCACGGGUCGGCAUCGACCUGAGGGAAAAGGAGCAAUCCGCUUUGAGAUGGUCCUCGCGUCCGAUUAGCUAGUUGGUGAGG
rnacentral:rRNA from 1 species